CCGUCCACACUUGUCUGCUGCUGUUCCUCACCUCUCCAGUGAGCGUGGAGUUCCAUGGUCUCAGGUGACAGCCAUCACACCCACUCUGAAUUUCCUGACAGGCAUAAUAGAAUUGAAGACACAGUGGAUAACGACAGAGCCUCGUGUACUGCUAACAGGAUUAAGGAUGUUUUUCUGUGGCUGAACUGAAGCAUCUGUCCUCAGGGCUGGAGGCUGGGUAUCACCACAGCUGACCUCCUCUCCAUGGCUCUUGCUGCUGCUAAUCCUCCAAGAUGAAUCUGAAAGAGAAAACAACUGCUUAGUUGCUACAAAUCAUAGGAAGACUCUGGUGAGAAAAUCUCCAUAAAAGACUUCGGAAAAGAUAUGUGUCUUAAGGCAGAACUUGAGGAAAAGCAGGAGACUUGGCACAGAAGCCGCAGAAGGCUUUUUCCAUGUGUAGGAACUUGCAAGGAUGGCAGGAGGCUACAGAGAGCAGACUUGAAACCCUGUGAAAAGAAGAAAUAAGCAAAGCAAGAGGAUAAGCCCUGGGAGAACAGCGUGCUUCCCAGUGUCUGCCUCGUCCUGCACAGUAAGAGCCAGGUCAACUUCAGGAAAUAAGCAAGGCCUCUAAAAGGAAGCACGACCAGAAAAUACAGCACAACUAGGAGCAUAUGGAAGGGAUCCAAGAAGUGGAGACCAUCAUUCGGUAAUAGAAUCUGCUUUGGAGAUGAGAGAGCCUAGAAGGAUGCCCAAUGCCCAGAGACAUACCAGAGAUGCUUUUAAAGUUCUACAAGCAACAUUUUCAUGUUCAAUGUGGAGGUCAGUAAGAGACCAAAAAUCCCAAAUCCCAGAUUGUACCUCCUACUCUCUGUGAUGGAUUAGAAAGAAAACAGGAUCCUCUUCAUCCUUCAAGACCCAGUCAGUUUUGUCGCCUCUGAGAAGUCUUCUCCUGUGUCUGCUUCCACCCCACCCUGCUUCAGGAAGACUCACGUUGCCUAGAAUUCAACAACCACCCUGGAACUGUGCCUUCUGUUUUUUAUGUUUCAGAUACAUACCCAUACCCCAAUAAUUCUACCAAAUUUAAGCUAUCUUUAUGAAACUAAAUAUGAAGAUUCAAAUUAGAUUUAAAACUCAUUUAGCUAAUCUGUUCCAAAAGCAACUUCUGUCUGUUAAUUGGUCGUUUGGUAAGCAGCUUUAGACUCAUUUUAGUACCUUAACUUAAAAUACCACUCUCGGCACACAAAUACUUGUUUAUUGAUGUCGAAAUUAAGAAAUUGUAUUUCUUUUUUUUAAGACAGAGUCUUGCUCUGUCACCCAGGCUGGAGUGCAGGCACAAUCUAUGCUCACUGCAACCUCAGCCUCCUGGGUUCAAGUGAUUCUCCUGCCUCAGCCUCCCAAGUAGCUGGGAUUACAGGCAUGUGCCACCAUGCCCCGUUAAUUUUUGUAUUUUUAGUAGAGAUGGGGUUUUGCCAUGUUGGCCAGGCUGGUCACGAACUCCUGACCUCAGGUGAUCCACCCACCUCAGUCUCCCAAAGUGCUGGGAUUACAGGGGUGAGCCACCACACCCAGCCAGAAAUUGUAUUUUCUUAUCAUCUGGUUUAAUAUUUUGCUUUUUUAACUGUUACUUCACCAAAAUAAUAAAAAAGCAGUUUUGAACCACAUAGGAAAAUGAAUCUUUUCCUAAUUUUGGCCAGGGUAGACCUGCUGGUAGUACUCAGAAAUCGGUUACUAUUAAAACAGUUUAAUUUUUUCAGUUCUUCAUUAUUCAAAGACUCCAAUUAGCACCUCUUUCAAAUAUGUGAGCAGAGAGCUUCAUAAAAAUUUAAUUAGGCCGGGUACAUUGGCUUAUACUUGUAAUCCCAGCACUUUGGGAGGCCAAGGCAGGAGAACAGCUUGAGCUCAGGAGUUUGAGGCCAACCUGGGCAACACAGAGAGACCUGUCUCUAAAAAAAGAAAAGAAAAAAGACUUAAUAAAAAAGAAUUAAUCCACUGCACACCUAUUAGAAAGGCUAAAAUCCAAAACGCUGACAACACCAAAUGCUGGUGAGGAUGUGGAGCAACAGGAAUUCUCAUCCAUGGCUGGUGGGGAAUACAAAAUGGUACCGCCACUUUAGAAGAGAGUUUGGCAGUUUCUUACAAAUCUAAACAUACUCAGCUGGGUGCAGUGGCUCAUGCCUUUAAUCCCAGCACUUUGGGAGGCCGAGACGGGUGGAUCACCUGAAGUCAGGAGUUCAAGACCAGCCUGGGCAACAUGGUGAAACCCAUUUAAAAUUUUUUAUUCUACUAAAAAUACAAAAAUCAGCUGGCAUGGUGGCACGUGCCUGUAGUCCCAGCUACUUCGGAGGCUGAGGCAGGAGAAUCACUUGAACUCGGGAGGCGGAGGUUGCAGUGAGACGAGAUCAUGCCACUGCACUCCAGCCUGGGCAACAGAGUGAGACUCCAUAUCAAAAACAAACAAAGAAAAAAAAAAACUUAAACAUACCCUCACCAUAAAAUCCAGCAAUUGCACUCCUUGGUGUUUACCCAAAGGAGUUGACAACAUAACCACACAAAAACCUGCAUGCAGACAUUUAUAGCAGCUUUACUCAUAAUUGCCAAAACCUGGAUGCAAACAGCAUGUCCUUAGGUGAAUGGAUAAACUGUGUUACAUCUAGACAAUGGAAUAUUAUUUAUUGCUAAAAAGAAAUGAGCUAUCAAGCCAUGAAAAGAUAUGGAGGAACUUUAAAUGCAUAUUAGUAUGUGAAGGAAGACAAUCUGAACAUCUACAUACGCUAUGGUUCCAACUAUAUGAUAUUCUGGAAAAGGCAAAACUGUGGAGACAGAAAAAGAAUCAGAGGUUGCCAGGGGUUAGCAGGGAGGGAAGGAUGAACAGGUGGGGCACAGAGGAUGUUUAGGACAGUGAAAAUAUUCCCUAUGAGACUGUAAUGGUGGAUACGUGUCAUUAUAUAAUUGUCCAAACCCAUAGAAUGUUUAACACCAAGAGUGAAGCGUAGUGUAAAGUAUCAACUUUGAGUAAUGAUAUCUCGAUAUAGUUUCAUCAAUUGUAGCAAAUGUACCAUUCUAGUAGGGUAUGUUGACAAGUGGGGAGGCUGUGGGUGUGUGGGGUAGCAGUGUAUGGGAAAUCUCUGUACCAUCCUCUCAAUUUUGCUGCGAACCUAAAACUUCUCUAUAAAAUAAAGUCUAU
rnacentral:lncRNA from 1 species